rnacentral:rRNA from 1 species
UGCCAGCCGCCGCGGUAAUACGUAGGGGGUUAGCGUUGUUCGGAUUUACUGGGCGUAAAGCGCGCGUAGGCGGCUAUUUAAGUCAGAUGUGAAAGUCCACGGCUCAACCGUGGAAGUGCAUUUGAAACUGGAUGGCUUGAGUACUGGAGGGGGUGGUGGAAUUCCCGGUGUAGAGGUGAAAUUCGUAGAUAUCGGGAGGAAUACCGGUGGCGAAGGCGACCACCUGGCCAGAUACUGACACUGAGGUGCGAAAGCGUGGGGAGCAAACAGGAUUAGAUA